GCUUACCCUAAGUAUUUGGUCCCAUACCUUGAAGAGUAUGUUUUAGUACCUAGUUGAUAAUGUCUUUUCAUAAUACUAUUUUGGCUAACUAUUGUUGGUAUACAUAUGAUUGUCGAACUUAAUUUUUUGUUGUAGUCUCCAUUGGAUGCUCUUGGUAAUAUCUCCUUCAACUCACACAAUAUACCAUUUUGAUUCUAUGCGUCAAGAACCACCCCGAGGCUUACUAAUCAAAAGCAUAUUGAAUAGUGUGAUGAAAAGAUUACGUGGAUGUGGUCCAAAAAGAGCCACACUUCCUCAAUGGAAAUCAGUGAAGUGCACAUAACAACAAGACGGAGUUGCUUGCGGCUAUUACGUGAUGAGGUUUAUGUUCGAUAUACUUGUUGCAUGGAAGUCAAUGAUCUUGAGAAGGUUUACAACACACCAAGGGAGGAGUCAUUUGCUGUUGAGGAAAUCAAUGAAGUUCGAGACAAGUUUGCUUCCUUUGUUACCGAUUGUGGUCUAUGAAUUUAAUUUCUAAAUACGUUGUAAACGCGUACUUUAAAUCUAUGGUAAUGUUUUGUAACUCAAUUCUACACUGUAUAUAUAUAUAAUAAUAGUACGUAUUUUAAUUUAGAA